AUUUUAAUAUUUUAUAUUUAAUUUAUUAAUUUUAUAUUUAUGUAUUGUUUAUAGAAAUAACUUUAUUUUUAGUAAUUUUUAAUGAAUAUAAUAAAUUAAAAAUUUAUAGCUUAUAUCACUGUAAAGGUUUAUUUUUAAAAUAUAAUAAAAGUAGACUUUAAUUGUUGUACCUUUUGUAUCAGGGUUUAUUAAUUUAUUAUUAAUUAUACUUAAUUUUCCCGAAUUUAAUAGAGAUAUCAAUUAUUGUUAUUUAAUGUUUCAAAAUUAUUAAUAAAUUAUUGAUAGGGGUUAUAUGCUAUUCAAUAUUAAAUAUCUGGUUUUCUGAUAAUUGAAUUUAAUUCAGAAUUGACAAAUUUUUAUUAUAUAACUUUAUUUUUACUAAUUUAGUCAAUUUAAAUUAUUAGGGGAUAAGCUCUAAUAAUUUAUUUAUAAUUAAUAUUAAGAAUUAAAUUAAGUAGGAUUAGAAAUUUCCAUCAUUUAUUUUGUUAUAAUUAAUUUUAAUUAAUUAUUUAUUUAUAUUAAUUUAAAUAUUUAUCAGAAAUUAUUAAUUAAUUAUUAAUUAAUAGAUAUAAUGAUAGAAUUAGUAUAUUAUUUUAAUUAAUAUAUAGUAAUUCGGCAAAUUUAUUCUUCACCUGUUUAACAAAAACAUGUCUUGAUGUUUAAUUUUAUAUUAAGUCUGACCUGCUCAAUGAUUGUAAAAUUAAAUAGCCGCAGUAUUUUGACUGUGCGAAGGUAGCAUAAUCAUUUGUCUUUUAAUUGAAGGCUUGUAUGAAUGGUUGGAUGAGGGAAUUGCUUUCUUUAUAUUAAUUGUUGAAUUUAAUUUUUAAGUUAAAAAGCUUAAAUAUUUAAAUGGGACGAGAAGACCCUAUAGAAUUUAACUUUUAUUUAUUAAUAAUAUUGUUUUGGUAAAUAAUUUAUUUUAUUAAUGUGAAAGUUUUGUUGGGGUGACAGUGGGAUUUUUAUAACUCCCAUAAUUAAUAUUGUAUUUAUAUGUAUAUUUAAGAUCCUAUUUUAAGGAUAUUUAGAUUAAAUUACCUUAGGGAUAACAGCGUUAUUUUUCUGGAGAGUUCUUAUCGAUAGAAGAGUUUGCGACCUCGAUGUUGGAUUAAAAUUAGAUUUAAGUGUAGAAGCUUAAUUUCUAGGUCUGUUCGACCUUUAAAAUUUUACAUGAUCUGAGUUCAGACCGGCGUAAGCCAGGUCGGUUUCUAUCUUUUUUUUAAUGUAAUAUAAAUUAGUACGAAAGGACCAUUUAUAUCAAAUAAUUUGUUUUAAUGAAUAUCUUUA
rnacentral:rRNA from 1 species